UAAAUAACAAAUAAGUAAUUAUAUUUAAAAGAUUUCAACAAAAAAAUUAAUAACAAGUAUAAAAUUAAAUUUAUAUUAUAUAAAUUAAGAAUUUUAAAAAAUUUAAUCAAUGUGAUGUGUGGGUACUUUAUGAAUGCCGACAUGUAUCCCGUCGGUGCAUCAUAGCUAACCAGCUUUUCCAUUAAAAUAAAAAUCUAAAUGAAAUUUCAUGCAUCAAUCUCAACCCUUUUCUUCAUUUUCUUUCUUUUACAUUUUUCGAAACAAGGAUGAAUAAUCUACAUCUUAAUCUCAACCUUCUUAGCAUCCUGUAUCCAAAGGGACAAAUUGAAACAGUUUUCAAACGGCAAAACCAAUGUUUUGUUGUAAUAAAAAAUGGGAAGAAAGAUAAAAGUAAAAUAUGACUCUAACCACAGAAUGAACAUCAUAUCAGUAUUCAACAAUUACCUUGAAAUUGGAAUCUCAUAAACUUUAUAGUUUUUCCAUUGUCUUUUCCCCUUUGAAUUCACUUGUAGACGUGCAUGUUGAUUGUGAAAAAAUUAUUUAGAAAGAAGUUAGAGCUUACUUGAACCACUGUUGGACCUCAGCAUUUCUUCCAGCACCAUUUUCUCUCACUCUGAAUCUGGAACAAGUACUUGUAUCAGUGUGAAGAAUUUGUGUUUGAGAUUUAGGGUCUUUUAUAGAGUUUAUGUGUAGUGAAGCAAAUCUAAAGGAUAUUCUAAUAUGCUAAAGACAUGUUACUUUUUCAGUUUUUGAAUAUAUGUGAUGGGGAGAGUGGAAUGGGAGAUCCAGAAACCACACACAUAUAUGACUGACCAGAAAGAAUUAUGUAAGCUUAUAUCUUCUUG
rnacentral:lncRNA from 1 species